rnacentral:sRNA from 1 species
AGCCAUUUGGGGUUGCUGGUCAUUAGCUCUCCAAAGUCAUAUUCCCUUUUGGUGCCCUUUAAACAUCACUGAAACACAAUUGCUAAAUAACUUCCCACAUCACAAUCAUUACAGAGGGAUUAGAUCUGCCUUGGUCCUUAGACAACUAUCUAAGUGCAUUUUUCCUAAGCCCAAAGCUGAAUAAAAUGAGUCUAGCAGAUUACUACUGUUCCAAGGUCUGAUGCUCUCCUCUUCUUACUUUAGUUUCUCCUUAAAUGACAUAUUUCAAAUUGACCAAAAACUGAGGUCAUUUUUAUCAGACACUGAACUAUACUUACAAGAUAUUGUGACUCGCCAUUUUUGACUUGGAUUUCUACCAGCCAACAUCUUGAGUCUUGUAAAACUCUUUGAUUCAGUUCUGCAGAAGUUCACUUUGUAGUUAAAAACAACAACCACAACAACCAUAUUCAACAUUUAGACAAUAAUUUCUUGGUUAACAUUUUCAAGACUUCCCUGAUCCUCCAGUGGCACCGACUGUGACAGAGGUGGGAGAUGACUGGUGUAUCAUGAACUGGGAGCCUCCUGCCUAUGAUGGA